AGGGAAUGAAGUGGAUUUCAUCUGCAGCGAAGCCUGACGAAAAAAAAUGUACUCUCAGUAAAUCCAAAAUAGCACUUGACGAGUCUUGACGCAAUUUCUUGUAUGCAGAAAGGCGCCUAUGGAUGAACCAUAGAGAGGAAACCAUAUUAUCCAGAAAAAACCUGAACAACAUGAGGAGGACGUGCAAACUCCACACAGACAGAGCUGGAGAUGAAACACAACAGUCACACCCACCACUGCUAAUAUUGUCAUUCUUAAAUAUCACUCUGGGAAUAAUGCUUUCCAGGGAGCAAGGUGUUUAAGUAUUUUAAUGAAUUAUGUGUAUUCAUGUUGGAGUGUAAACACAAUAUUACUAAAGUUUGAAUAAUACUUUUCAAAAAUGUUACAAUACAUUUGUAAUACCAUUGAUAAUUAUAACAUUUAAUUUGA